rnacentral:lncRNA from 1 species
CCACAAUCUCUUCAUGUUUCAGUUGGAUCGUCACUUCCUCAGAGAAACCUUCCCUGGUCCCCCCUGACUAGGUCAGGUUCUCGUCUUAUGCCUGCAGAGAACCAUAUUCUUUUCCUUCAGAGCACUUAUCUGGACUUUUAAGUAUCAGCUCAUUGAUGUGAUUAGGUGAUGAAUGUCUGUCUCUCCUGACUUCACUCAGAUCCGUGAGAACAAGAACCAUGUCUACUUUGCUCAUCAUUAUAGACAGCAUGCAGCACGGUGCUUUAAACAUGGUGGAUCUUCAGUGACACCUGAUUGGAUGAAUGAAGGAGAACAAAGUUGAAAUGCCUAGAAUAUUCAUAGGAAGAAUUGAGUGCACCUGGAGACUAUUCAUGUGGAACAGGAAUAAAUGUCCUUUGAUUGAAAAGUCGAAAAUAUCCACGAAUUUUAAACGUAAGUAUAAUUAUGUAAAUAUAUAACAAUGUUGUUUCUUUAGUGGUUAUGAAAUACUGAACUUGGUCACUGAUUUGUUUAUUUGGUAUGUGUCCUUGCUUUUCAGGGAAUUUCUGUCCACUUUCAGAACCACCUUACAUUUCCUAUUCGAAGAACUAACAGAAGCAAAGCAGCUCAGCUAAGAGUGAAAUAAUUUCAGCGACUAUGAAAAUUUGCAGAAAAGUGUGGCCAACAGAAAGUGUUCAUUCUCUGUGUUUACAUUGGCACUGAUCUUAAAGGCAUGGCAUUAACUCAACAUAAAGCUAUGCUUUUUAUUUUUUAAUUAAUUAUUCUCUAUUUUUAAUUUUUUUUUUAGGGCUGCACUUGCAGCAUAUGAAAGUUCCCAGGCUAAGUGUCAAAUCGGAGCUGCAGCUGCCGGCCUGUGCCACAGCCACAGAAACAUCAGAUCUGAGCCAAUUCUGUGACCUACACCACAGCUCAUGCAACACUGGAUCCUUAACCCAGUAAGUGAGGUCAGGGAUUGAACCCACACCCUCAUGGAUACUAGCAGAGUUUGUUAUUGCUGAGCC